rfam:Capsicum annuum cultivar Zunla-1 chromosome 5, whole genome shotgun sequence
ACGACCUUACUUGAACAGGAUCUGUUCUAUAGGCUCGUACCACUGUAACCUUGAAUUCUAAGGAGACAGAAAACCAAGUCUGGUGGAUGAAUAGUGGCUAUGAGACUAGAGCGUGAUUAACAGCCACCGUGGCCUUUGGGUCAUGGUGCCGUAGAUGAUCGUUCUCUGCCUGCUCCGCUGGGCUUGAGAUGGUCUCGUGGCUGUCUGACAGACU